ACUCUACGCCGGCGUAAGCAAGAUACGUCGGCGGGGUGUAGCCUGGUUUUAGGCGCAUCUCUGUUUGUGGGUCUGUAUUGCGAGCCCCCUGCUGGGCUAAAACCCCAAUAACACAUGUGAAAUAUACAAUGACAUGUGUUAGUGUUGUUACCUUCUUUUGAAUGCGAUCCUCAGGAGCAAACACACCACACACAAUCAAUAUAGUAAACCAAGGGUAACUUUACUUGGCAUGUAAUAAGAAAGAUAAAAGAUCAAACAGCAGAUUAACUAUACAUAUGUAUACAUAGCUGAUUCUGCAAGGGCCCUUUGCAAGAGUCAAUAAAAGCAAAACAAAAAUGUUAACGUUCUAAAGUCUUCAAGUGGCUAUUAAAUAGUCUAUGCUCACGAGCUUCCCCUAGUGGGCAAUCCCCUUAAAUGCAACCGCUAGCAAUCUUGACCAGGCCUGGCUUGGAUCACUCCAGAAUGUUCCUCAGUGGUGAAGUCUAUUUUUCAAUUCGUUGGUGCACAUCAACUUAUUUGUAAUCCAAAAGGGUAUUCAGGCUCAGUUAACGGGUAUGAUAAGUAUAAGUGCUGGUGGACCGAUCCUAAAGUUAGCAUUAAUCAACUUGGCUAGCGUGACUCUCAGAUGUUAGGUCUCUGGGGCGAAUCAGUAGACAGUACGCUGCUCUGAUAUGUGGAACACUAUGAGUCAUAAGGCUGAGGUAGUAUUGAAAACUUGGGCAAGUGCCCUCUCACCCGAGCAGGCCUAGUCCGCCUGAGUUCCUCACAAAAGUUACGCUGAUCAGUGGUCACACUGCAACGCACAGUCUACGGUAUCCCGCUCUCCACUGUUACGAUCGUCAGCUGGUGAGUAUCUCCGGUCUCUUGGAAACACAAGCCGGACGCACUUGAUCUUGUCCCUCUCCGGAUGGCCGCCCUUUCGGUGUAUCCCGGUUUAGGCUUCAGGCCUAGCCGCUUGGCUGGAGUGCUCUACCUCGUUCCGCAGAGGGAAGAAGACCGAUCCCAAGAGAGCGAAUUCAGCUCCUCCCGCCGUUAAGUAACCUCCCCCAUUAAGCUGUGCAGGGGUGCAAUGUUUUCUGGGAAGCCAAUGCAUUAUGAGUACCAUAGUCUAUUUCUACUAAUGUCAAUGGAGUCCUUUUCUCCCAAUACUUCAAAACCCACAAUGCAUUGCUUUAGGAAAAUUAAACACAUAUGUACAACUUGACCGGAACUCCCGGGGAAUCCAGGUAUGCAUAACUAUCAAAUAGUCCAUGAUAGCAUGACUAUAGCAUUAUUAUUAUGAUUGUACAGUAUAUAUAUAUAUAUAUAUAGUUUGUCUUUCAGGUCCUUGCCCCUCCUCUUCCUGUCACAGAGGAAAAGUUACAGAAACAGCUUUUACUGGAAAGAUUCUCCAACCACGGCUGCUGUUGACCAGAUCUGAUGGACAGCUGUAAAGAAGCUGGUAUUUGGAGGGACAAUCGGCAAUCGUUGAGACCAAUGUCUUACCUUUUUAUAUGUCUGUCACCUAGGUCCUGUCAGCAGUUUGAAUCUUCAAUCAAGCUCAUCUCUCAUCUACAACAGGAAACAGCGAGCUUCAUGAUGGAGAGGUUACCUUGGAAAUCAGUCCGAAUUACAGCAACCUACUGUUCCAUGAUGUAGGAGCCACAGGACACCAAGUUCAGAAACGACCCAAUGGGCAAAAGAAGAAAGAGAAACCUUUGCAUUGAAGAGAGUGUUUUGGACACUGACCAAACUAUGAAGCCAAGAGAAGUACCAUCCAGUGCCUGCUGGACUGCACUUGUGGGAAGCCAAACCUAAAAGAACCGGAUGAUCCAAUUACAUCAGGAGAGAAGCUGACAAAAGCCACAGAAGAAAGAAGUUGCGGAGGACAGAUGCUGACUAGGUGGAUGAUUGAAAAGAGGAAUCCAGUGUGUGAAGGGGGGGGGGGGUAACUUGUAGAUCCGCUGUGACUUUGGAGAUUUGUCUGUUGACCCACAGUUGUUAAAGAGAUCUCUCUCUUUGGGUCCUCAUGCUGUUCCAGCUGGUGUGUGUGU